rnacentral:rRNA from 1 species
CAAUAGCGUAUAUUAAAGUUGUUGCAGUUAAAAGCUCGUAGUCGGAUUUCGGGUCGGGCCGAGCGGUCUGCCGAUGGGUAUGCACUGUUUGGCGCGGCCUUCUUUCCGGAGACCGCGGCUACUCUUAACUGAGCGGGCGUGGGAGACGGAUCGUUUACUUUGAAAAAUCAGAGUGUUUCUAGCAGGCAGCUCGCUCUUGCAUAGGUUAGCAUGGGAUAAUUUAAUAGGACUCUGGUGCUAUUUUGUUGGUUUCGAACACCGGAGUAAUGAUUAAAAGGGGCAGUCAGGGGCACUCGUAUUCCGUCGAGAGAGGUGAAAUUCUUUAACUGGCUCAUGACGAACCACUGCGAAAGCAUUUGCCAAGAAUGUUUUCAUUAAUCAAGAACGAAAGUCAGAGGGUCGA